AAUAAAUAGCUUUAUCGGUCGUCCCACUGUCUAUAUCACUCUGUUCAGCUCUUAAUAUUAUUCCGUAUCAUGUCUUUGUGACGUCAAAUACGUUGACCCGGCCUUAAUAACUUUGACCCGGACAUAUCAGCGACGUCAUAAUGUUUGAACCGACGUUAAUAACUUUGACCCGAACUUAUCAAGUCAUCUUUUGUGUGCUGGUGAAACAAAGAAACACUUCUGAAACACGCAAAUAUAGCCCGAUAAAUCGAUGAUCA
rnacentral:lncRNA from 1 species